UCUCUUCUUCUUGUUCUCUGCGUGCUUGCGGCCGCCGACCGCCGCAACAGCCACGUCGAUCCACCACAGCCACCCCAGUUCACAGGAGAUGCAGACCAACGUCCUGACGCCCCAACCCUCACCUAUCCCAACGCCGCCGAGCCCCCACACAUCUCGAACUCGGACUCGAAGAAGAGCCCAUGUGGCUUGCGCCUUGGAGUCGUGUCCAAGGAUGAGAUGUUCGGGAGGACGGGGCCGUGCUCUACAUGAAAAUUGAGCCAUUAAAAGGAAUCCUUAACCAAAAAUAAAUCGCAUCUCAAGUUUCUUGCCCGAGAUUGCCGUGCCGCAAGUUUCCGGCAUCUUCGUGCCGCAAGCUUUCGACAUCGCCGUGCCUGCGUCGAGUUCAUCGGAUAUCCGUCUGCACGUGCUCCAUGGUACGCUCGAAAUUCGUCUGACCUGAGGUGUACGUGCUAGAGUCCCAUCAAUUUACAUCUGUCAUGAAUUUAUUAAUUCUGUAUGUUCUUCAGUAUAGGCCAUGCUAGCACUAAAGUUCCGAAUAGAUGUUCAAGUUUCAGAUGCUUAGUUUCAGGCAAUGAGAACUGUCUCAAUGCAGUUGUAUUUGCAGAUGGUCCCAUGCUGCAAUGCAUGAUUGUAUAUGUAUGUUGUCCCUGCUGCUAGAUCAAUGAAAUAUCCUAUGUUCAAAAAAAGUAUAUGCUCUUUAAGCUCUGGACAAGUCAAUGCCUAAAAUACUACAACUCAUGGAGUACAGACUGAAACAUAGAAGGUAGACCACAAGUGAUCAAAUCAUUGAGAAGUCCAACAAUAUGCAUUAGUUCAGCUAAUAUUCCCCACUGUCUGAAAGGCAUCUGGCUCUGCUCCAAGCUUCAUAUACUUCAUCUUCGCACAUUGAGAUUUGUCUGAAGGUGUACAUUAGUGGUUGGAUGUACUCAAUUUUUAUAUAGGAAAAAAUUGUUGCUGUACAACAGAAAAAAUAAAUAAGAAAAGGGUACACUGGGAGUUGUCUGAAGGUGUAUAUUAGUGGUUGGAUGUACUUAAUUUUUAUCUAGGAAGAAUAGCUACUGUACGACAGGAAAAAUAUAAGAAAAGGUAAACUAAUAUCAUGAUGAUGGCAGAGGGGUAAUGCAUUGUUCAUGGUAUUGCAUGCACGGGCAUUGGUUAAAUAAUUUUGGGUGUUCUAACUCUCUGGGAUAAUUUAUAUCUCUAUUUUUGCUAAUUGGCAAGGUUGAUGAACAAUGAUUUACCUAUGGUUUUUGCUUAAUGGAAAAGCCUUUUCAGUUUUAAAAACCUACUGAUUUGAUCAACAGAGCCUGUCUCUUUUUUUGUUUCUUGGUAAGAACAGUGCUAUAUGGUUAAACUCUACAUCUUUGUACUUAAUUGUCUGAAGGUGUGCAUUAGUCCUUGAGAUUAGUGCUAUAUAGUACCACGCUACAUCUCUGUACUUAAUUGGCUGAAGGUGUGCAUUAGUGCUUCAGACCAGUGUUGUAUGGUUCCACUCUACAUGUCUGUAGUUAAUAUCUGAAGGUGUACAUGAGUGGUUGGCUGUGUUAAUAUAAAUAGUAACUUUCCAUAUUAUAGCAGCUAGAAGAGCUUCACAGAAAUUUGGUACAAGAGUUGCAACAGUCUUGAUCAAGUGUUUUUAUUAUUAUUGCUUCUUGGUUAAACAUUGUAAGAAUCUUGCGCAUGUUCGGUGUUAUCACGUCCUAAAGAUCUUACUAUUUUUUUAUUAACGAAGAUCUUGACUAUUUUGGUGUCAAGAUCCAAUAGCCUUCUUGUUAGUUAAUGCUCUAUUAUAUUUUUCUAACAAAACAAAUGUAUGUUUCCAGCAAUAAAACUCGUCGGUUCCAGCAAAAACAAUUACUCGCCAUAGCCGGGUCAUAGCAAAAAAUUUGGCUGGUCCUAGCAAACAAAAAAAGAACAAUCCCAGCAAAAAAUAAAAUCGGCGUCGCAGUCAUAGGCAACAGUUUUGGAGGUAUGAUAGUGUGCUUGAGCGAGGAUACCUCACUGCCUGUCUUGGAUGGCCAGAACAUUUUGUUGGCCAUCUCACACUCAUGUUGCAACAAUUGGAUGUGUCAUGUGAAACCUGCAGCAUUCGAGCAUUGCAAGCGGCGGUAUGGCAGUCUGAAUCCUGACGUUCUUGGGAGUGCAGUUCUAAUAGGUGGGGCGUUUGUUGGAAAUAUAGGACUGAGACCCAUAGCUCCUUAAAAAAAGGUGUAUUUCCUCUUAAUUACUCGCACAAGCAAACAAGUGAUGGCUGGUUAGUUGUAUUCAUUUUGUUAUAUUUAUGAGAGCUGCCUUUUCAAACAGGAGAAGAAGGGCUAUCUUGCUUGUCUAAAGUGAGUCUGCAUGGUGGUCUCUGUUGUUUGAAGGCAAGUUGCUCGGGAACGAGCCACUGGUUAAAUCGUUUGGUUAUCUAAGGAUGUGCACUACGAUGUGGGCGACAUGGUCGACAAGCUCUGACUACUACAUUCUCCAACAAGGUAGAAUUAAUUUAGUUGUGGUUUUAUAUUUCAAAACACUAUGAAAUUAGAAUUUACUGAGUUUCUUUGUUUAGGCGGUGCUGUAGAAAUAGUGUUCAGUUUGUAUGAGUUAGUGUUGUGCUGAAACUCACGAGUCCUGAUUUGCUUCCCAUGCAAAAAAAAAAUGCUUGGGCUUGUCAGGUCUCUGAGUCUUACUGCACCAAACAUGCAACUUUUGGCAUGGUUUGGUUUCAAAACAUAAAAAGCUAGGGAGUUUCACAAUCCCUAGGACAAUGCCGAUACUUAGAUUAUUUUGUACAGCUAUUUUGACAUCGAUUUGAUGCUGAUAUACCGCCGACAAGUAGCAGUCGUGGAAGAGGCAACCCUCUAAGGAAUGUGACCAUUUUUGUAAUCAUAAGAGAUGGUGUUGGAAACCUGUAGAAUGACAAUACUGUCACACGAUAGUUCUGUGUAAGAUGGCAAACGGGGAGGAAUUUUGACCAGGCUUAUCAAGAGUGCUGGUUGUAGGGCAAGUCACUAGCCGCAAGACCCUUCCUCGAGUUACUACUUACGAACUAUUGCAAAUUUGUAAUUCAUGCAUUUUAACAUCUUUGCACCGGUGCACUUUUCUGGCUGUAACUUUAUUAAAUGGCAAGCAGAAUUUUUUUAUGGCAAUGCGAAGCAGAAUUGCUGGAACUGAUAUUCAAACGUCAUCAU